UACGUAGGUGGCAAGCGUUGUCCGGAUUUACUGGGUGUAAAGGGCGUGUAGGCGGAGAUUCAAGUCAGGAGUGAAAUCUAUGGGCUUAACCCAUAAACUGCUUUUGAAACUGAAUCCCUUGAGUAUCGGAGAGGCAGGCGGAAUUCCUAGUGUAGCGGUGAAAUGCGUAGAUAUUAGGAGGAACACCAGUGGCGAAGGCGGCCUGCUGGACGACAACUGACGCUGAGGCGCGAAAGCGUGGGGAGCAAACAGG
rnacentral:ncRNA from 2 species